CCUGGUUAUUGAAGCGACGUGGUACCAACCUUUCCCAUCUCGAACAAGGUCUUGAAACGCGUCAGCGCUGAUGAUACUCCCGCCAAAGCGGCGAUGGGGGAAAGUAAGUCGUAGCCAGGU
rnacentral:rRNA from 1 species